GUUUGAUUCUGGCUCAGAACGAACGCUGGCGGCGUGGAUAAGACAUGCAAGUCGUGCGGGACACUGUGGGUAGCAAUAUUUGCAGUGUUCAGCGGCGCAAGGGUGCGUAACACGUGGGCAAUCUGCCCUGAAGACCGGGAUAACACCGAGAAAUCGGAGCUAAUACCGGAUGUGGUUGCUGGAAGGCAUCUUCCGGCAUUCAAAGCUGGGGACCGCAAGGCCUAGCGCUUCAGGAUGAGCCCGCGGCCUAUCAGCUAGUUGGCGAGGUAAUGGCUCACCAAGGCUAAGACGGGUAGCUGGUCUGAGAGGACGACCAGCCACACUGGAACUGAGACACGGUCCAGACACCUACGGGUGGCAGCAGUCGAGAAUUUUUCACAAUGGGCGAAAGCCUGAUGGAGCGACGCCGCGUGGGGGAUGAAGGGCUUCGGCCCGUAAACCCCUGUCAUUUGCGAACAAACCUUGUCCGUUAAUAGCGGACAAGCUGAUUGUAGCGAAAGAGGAAGGGACGGCUAACUCUGUGCCAGCAGCCGCGGUAAUACAGAGGUCCCAAGCGUUGUUCGGAUUCACUGGGCGUAAAGGGUGCGUAGGCGGCUGGGUAAGUCUGAUGUGAAAUCUCCGAGCCUAACUCGGAAACUGCAUCGGAUACUAUUCAGCUAGAGGAUUGGAAGGGAGACUGGAAUUCUCGGUGUAGCAGUGAAAUGCGUAGAUAUCGAGAGGAACACCAGUGGCGAAGCGAGUCUCUGGACAAUUCCUGACGCUGAGGCACGAAAGCCAGGGGAGCAAACGGGAUUAGAUACCCCGGUAGUCCUGGCUGUAAACGGUGCACGUUUGCUGUGAGAGGAAUCGACCCCUUUCGUGGCGAAGCUAACGCGCUAAACGUGCCGCCUGGGAAGUACGGCCGCAAGGUUAAAACUCAAAGAAAUUGACGGGGGCCUGCACAAGCGGUGGAGUAUGUGGCUCAAUUCGAUACUACGCGAAGAACCUUACCUGGCCUUGACAUGCAAGUAGUAGAACCCUGAAAGGGGGACGAGGUAGCAAUACCAGCUUGCACGGGUGCUGCAUGGCUGUCGUCAGCUCGUGUCGUGAGAUGUUGGGUUAAGUCCCGCAACGAGCGCAACCCCUGUGUCCUGUUGCCACCCGGCCGAGAGGCUGGAGCACCCUGGACAGACUGCCUCACUUCAACGAGGAGGAAGGUGGGGAUGACGUCAAGUCAGGAUGGCCCUUACGGCCAGGGCUGCACACGUACUACAAUGCCCGGCACAACGGGGCGCAAUGCCGCAAGGCAAAGCCGAUCCCUAAAAACCGGGCCCAGUUCAGAUUGUCGUCUGCAACUCGACGGCAUGAAGCUGGAAUCGCUAGUAAUGGCGCAUCAGCUACGGCGCCGUGAAUACGUUCCCAGGCCUUGUACACACCGCCCGUUACACCAUGAAAGCCGUUUGUACCCGAAGUCGCUGUACUAACCGCAAGGAAGUAGGUGCCGAAGGUAUGGAUGGUGAUUGGGAUGAAGUCGAAACAAGGUA
rnacentral:rRNA from 1 species